rfam:Picea glauca, whole genome shotgun sequence.
AUGUACGUUCCUACAACAUAGCAUUAAAGAAACAUAUCCCAUUAGAACUUCGUAGUUAAGCACGCUUAGGCUAGAGUAGUACUGGGAUGGGUUAUCACCCCAGAAGUCCUAGUGUUUUACAUG